UCCACCGUGAGGCGGAAUCUGAAGGAAGCCGGCGGCAAAUCUCUGGCCUGACGAACAGAAAUCGCAUAAAGGCUACUAUUGAGGAUAAGGUCGCAUAACGGGUUGAAGUCCAAUAGCUACACGGAAUCAAUGGUAGUAAAUGCGGCAGGUAGGUGGAGGGAAAGAAACGUGU
rnacentral:ncRNA from 1 species